UAGGGAAUAUUGGACAAUGGGCGAAACCCUGACGCAGCAACGCCGCGUGCAGGAUGACACUUUUCGGGUUGUAAAGCCCUUUUCUAGGAGAAGAAUAAUGACAGUAUCUUCUGAAUAAGCAUCGGCUAACUCCGUGCCAGCAGCCGCGGUAAUACGUAGGAUGCUAGCGUUACUCGGAUUUAUUGGGCGUAAAGCGCGUGCAGGCGGUCUAUCAAGUCGCUUGUGAAAUCUACUGGCUUAACCAUUAAAGUGCGUGGAAAACUGUCAGACUAGAGUGAGGGAGAGGGAGGUGGAAUUCGGGGUGUAGUGGUAAAAUGCGUAGAUAUCAGGAAGAACACCAGUGGCGAAAGCGGUCUGCUGGAACACUACUGACGCUAAGGCGCGAAAGCGAGGGUAGCAAACG
rnacentral:rRNA from 1 species